rnacentral:rRNA from 1 species
UACGGGGGGAGCAAGCGUUGUUCGGAUUUACUGGGCGUAAAGGGCGCGUAGGCGGCCAGCACAAGUCAGUUGUGAAUCUCCGAGCUUAACUCGGAAAGGUCAACUGAUACUGUGCGGCUAGAGUGCGGAAGGGGCAACUGGAAUUCUUGGUGUAGCGGUGAAAUGCGUAGAGAUGUGGAGGAACACCAGUGGCGAAGGCGACUCUUUGGCCUGUAACUGACACUGAGGCGCGAAAGCGUGAGGAGCAAACAGG